rnacentral:rRNA from 1 species
UACGUAGGGGGCAAGCGUUGUCCGGAUUUAUUGGGCGUAAAGAGCGUGUAGGCGGCCAGGUAGGUGGGUUGUGAAAACUGGAGGCUCAACCUUCAGACGUCGACCCAAACCCCCUGGCUAGAGUCCGGAAGAGGAGAGUGGAAGUUCCUGGUGUAGCGGUCGAAAUGCGCAGAUAUCAGGAGGAACACCGGUGGCGAAGGCGGGUCUCUGGGCAGUAACUGACGCUGAGGAGCGAAAGCGUGGGGAGCGAACAGG